GACGAACGCUGGCGGCGUGCCUAAUACAUGCAAGUUGAGCGCUGAAGGUUGGUACUUGUACCAACUGGAUGAGCAGCGAACGGGUGAGUAACGCGUGGGGAAUCUGCCUUUGAGCGGGGGACAACAUUUGGAAACGAAUGCUAAUUCCGCAUAAAAACUUUAAACACAAGUUUUAAGUUUGAAGGAUGCAAUUGCAUCACUCAAAGAUGAUCCCGCGUUGUAUUAGCUAGUUGGUGAGGUAAAGGCUCACCAAGGCGAUGAUACAUAGCCGACCUGAGAGGGUGAUCGGCCACAUUGGGACUGAGACACGGCCCAAACUCCUACGGGAGGCAGCAGUAGGGAAUCUUCGGCAAUGGACGAAAGUCUGACCGAGCAACGCCGCGUGAGUGAAGAAGGUUUUCGGAUCGUAAAACUCUGUUGGUAGAGAAGAACGUUGGUGAGAGUGGAAAGCUCAUCAAGUGACGGUAACUACCCAGAAAGGGACGGCUAACUACGUG
rnacentral:rRNA from 1 species